rnacentral:rRNA from 1 species
UACGUAGGGGGCUAGCGUUGUCCGGAUUUAUUGGGCGUAAAGAGCGUGUAGGCGGCCAGGUAGGUCUGGUGUGAAAACUCGAGGCUUAACCUCGAGAUGUCAUCGGAAACCAUUUGGCUAGAGUCCGUAAGAGGAGAGUGGAAUUCCUGGUGUAGCGGUGAAAUGCGCAGAUAUCAGGAAGAACACUAAUGGCGAAAGCAGCUCUCUGGGACGGUACUGACGCUGAGACGCGAAAGCGUGGGGAGCAAACAGG